GUGCCGCGCCGCGAGGAGUGGGCAUGGCGGACGGGACGCGUUCGGUGCGCGGUUGCAGCCCGGCCUCCAGCCCGGUGCUGGGCGGCCGGGUACGCGCUGCGGCGGCGGCGGCGGCGGGGGGGAGCAGCAGCCCGCCGGGCCACGGCUUCCGCAGGGUGACCCUCACCAAGCCCACCUUCUGCCACUACUGCACCGACUUCAUCUGGGGGCUGGCCGGCUACCAGUGCGAGGUUUGCAACUUCAUGUCUCAUGAAAAGUGCCUCAAGAAUAUCAAGAUACCAUGCUCAUGUAUUGCUCCCAGCCUUGUGAGGGUUCCAGUUGCACACUGUUUUGGGUCUCCAGGACAUUACAAAAGAAAGUUUUGCACUGUGUGCAGAAAGUCACUAGAGUCACCUGCCCUUCGAUGCGAAGUUUGUGAGCUGCAUGUGCACACAGACUGUAUCCUGUUUGCUUGCAGUGACUGCCGGCAGUGUCACCAGGAUGGGCACCAGGACCACGAUACCUAUCACCACCACUGGAGGGAGGGAAACCUUUCUUCAAGUGCCCGUUGUGAAGUCUGCAAGAAAACCUGUGGCUCCUCUGAGGUGCUCUCUGGCAUGAGAUGUGAAUGGUGCGGCAUCCUGGCUCAUGCUGCUUGCUACGUAAUUGUCGCACCAGAAUGUACUUUUGGAAGAUUAAGGAAUAUGAUUCUGCCUCCAAGCUGCGUGCAGUUAUUUUCUCGCAACUUCAGCAAACUGCAUUGUUUUCGAGUUACAGAAAAUUUGCAAACAGAACCAGAUGAAGAUGAUGAUGUUGAUGGGUCAACACAGGGCUCAACAAAAGAUGUCCAAAUUUCAACAGAUUCAAGUAAGCAGAAUUUCAGUAAACAGACAUUAAAGAUAUUUGAUGGGAAUGAUGCCGUGAAACGCAACCAAUUUCGGCUGAUUUCAGUUCCAAGGAUUGCAAAAAAUGAAGAAGUUGUGGAGGCUGCUUUGAGGGCAUACUACAUAAAUGAUGACCAGCAGGAGUAUGAGCUUCAGACCUUUACACAGCAGGCGCUGCUGUCUGAUGAUGUUAUCAACAGGAACGAUGCUGCAGAGGACAGCAACUUGAGCUCGGUAUUCCGUGAAUCCGUUCCUGAAGUUUGGAUCAUCAGAGCUAAACCAAAGGACGAGGAGGUGAUCAGAAUCUAUCCUGCCUGGCUGAAGGUGGGAAUGGCAUAUGUCUCUCUACGAGUAAAUAAGGAUAGCACUACACAGGCUGUCAUCAAAGAAGUGCUUCCAUUACUUGGAAAGCAGACGGAGUGCCUCAAGAAUUUCAAAUUGGUGGAAGUUCUUAUGGGCAGUAAGCAAGUUCAGCGCAUGGUGUUGGACAAUCAGGAACUGAUUCUUAACAGACUCAAGGACAUAAGAAAGACUUCAAUACGUCAGAUGAAUCAAACAAGGUUUUACAUUGCGGAAAACAAUAAAUCCAUCGUGCGAGUAAAUUUACUUGUUGGUGGCCUUCCACCUCAACUUUCUCGUGAAGAAUACACCAAUAUUCUCAAAGCUGAAUUAGCUAUCAAAACAAAUGUAGUAUCUGUGAGUCAUGUUUAUCAAGCACAAGGUGCUGUUGUACUCGAAAUUUCAUGUUUUUCUGAAGCUGAAAGAAUAUAUAUGCUAGUUAAAGAUACAACUGUCAAUGACAAGCCUCUAAACGUUGUGGUGAUUCCUGAAGUUAUGGCUUCCAAAAUACCACAGAACUGCUGCCCAAUUCUUGUAUUUGUGAAUCCAAAAAGUGGUGGUCUAAAAGGUCGGGACUUGCUGUACAGUUUUAGAAAGCUGCUAAACCCACAUCAGGUCUUUGAACUUACCAAUGGUGGCCCAUUGCCUGGGUUUCAUACAUUCUGUAAAGUCCCCUCCUUCCGAGUGCUGGUGUGCGGAGGGGACGGCACCGUUGGCUGGGUCCUUGGUGCACUGGAGGAGAUCAGGCACAAGCUGGCGUGCUCAGAGCCCUCAGUUGCCAUCUUACCUUUAGGGACAGGUAAUGACUUAGGGAGGGUCUUGCGCUGGGGAGCUGGCUACAGUGGAGAGGACCCCUACUCCGUUUUGGUUUCUGUGGAUGAGGCAGAUGAUGUUCUUAUGGAUCGCUGGACUAUUCUUUUGGAUGCAGACGAGCCAGCUGAAGGUGCAGAGAAUGGUGUUGCAGAACCUGAACCUCCAAAGAUUGUACAGAUGAACAAUUACUGUGGUCUUGGCAUUGAUGCAGAGUUGAGCUUGGAUUUUCAUCAUGCUAGAGAAGAAGAACCAGGGAAAUUCAACAGCAGGUUCCACAACAAAGGAGUUUACGUGAAAGUUGGGCUGCAGAAGAUAAGUCAUACCAGGAAUCUCCACAAAGACAUAAAGCUUCAAGUGGAUCAGCAUGAGGUGGAGUUACCAAGUAUUGAAGGACUCAUUUUUAUUAAUAUACCCAGCUGGGGGUCCGGAGCUGACCUCUGGGGGUCCGACAGUGAUAACCGCUUUGAGAAGCCACGCAUUGAUGAUGGGCUGCUGGAAGUUGUUGGUGUGACUGGCGUCGUUCACAUGAAAACUGCUGCUGGAAAAAGUGUGUGUGAUCACGUAAGUAGAGACAACUAACCCAUACAACCAGCAAGAUGGAAAGGUAGGUGCUUAAAACUGUUUGUGCAGCUUGAUCUUUGGUGUUGGCCAACUUCACCAUUUUGUAAUUUAGAUCUUUUAAGGAAGACAAAUAUAAAACAUUCUAUUACAAGUAGUAUUUUGGCAGAGAUCAUUAAAAUCUGUGUGAAAUGAGAAGCAACAAGGUGUAUGCCCAUUGCUUUGGAAUAUAAAUGUUAACAAACGCAUGCUCUGGUUUUGUGAUCUUCUCUUAAGGUUUUUACCCCAUGUUUAGUGUCUGUACACAUUCCCCAAGAGAAUGUGUAGCAGGAAAGUUCAUUUUGCUUUGCUUUUUACAGUCAACACUGAACUGUUAGUUGUAGUUGAGUAUAUGUAGUUGAGUACGUAGUACAUAUAGAUAGAUUAGAUAUAUAGAUAUAGAUAUAGAUACGGAGUUGAGUUUGGCAAAACUCUCUCUCCCUGUUUGAUAAAGUGCUUUUAGACCCCUGAGUUUCACAUGUAUGUGCUGGUCUGUGUGUAUAGUUAGGUGUUUUGAAACUGUGUUUACUAUGUUAUGGAUGGGGGAAGUAAAAGCAAACAAGACCUUUGUGAGUGCAUGCUCCUUGGCCAAGCUGAGUGUACAGAUGGCUUCACUGUGUAAGUUACUUUGCCAGCAACAGCCCGCAGGGGUAUCUGCAUUCUUCUUCAUGCACCAACUUAAAAUAAUUCAUGCUGCAUCAGUAAAGGCAUCCUCUACAGGUUUUGCCUAAGCAGUAAAAUAACUUAAAAUGUCAGGUGACAAUAAAAUUCUAACCACCUAGAAGUGUAGCUAAUAUUUAUGCUUCUUGUUUAUUGGGGUGACUGAUAUCUUGGCUUUUACUUCCUAACAGGGUCAAGUCCAAGGUGGUUUUCGAUCAGGCAUCCGCAUAGCCCAAGGCUCAUAUUUCCGUGUAACACUCCUAAAGCCAAUUCCAGUUCAAGUUGAUGGAGAGCCCUGGAUUCAGGCCCCUGGACAGAUUAUAAUUUCCGCUGCAGGACCAAAGGUCCACAUGUUGAAAAAAUCCAAGAAACAGAAAAAAACUGGAAGCGUGAAAGAGAUGCGAGGGGAUAUGUCCGUCUCUGAAGGAGGACGCUAAGUGGAGACCUGUGCUCAGAAGAGAUGCAGCAGACCUACUUUAGAUACCAAGACGGCUUAGUAAAACAGAGUGCAGACAGCUAGUGAAGAGAGUUGCUUAUGAGCGUGCCUUUCAUUACAUUUUGAUAGUAUCAAGUUCUAUUUUGUCUUUCAAAGAUAGUGCCUCAUUGUUAAAAAUAACUGUUAUAUACCACUUGUCACAUCUGAAAUGUUUACUUUGGGUUGCUUUUCCAUAAGCUAUUUCCUACUUUUCCAUGUAUAUAGAAACUGAGGCCAAACAGAAAUUCCAAGAUGCUGAGAUUUUUGAUCUACCUUUACAAAGACUCUUCCCCUCCUCCCAGCCUUCUCUUAAAGAAAACCAUUCCAUAGAUAAAUUUUGGUGCAUUGUUCCAGAAAUCAAUAUGUGUUCCUCCCAGCCAAAAAAGGGCCAAGACAUGAGCUGCUGAAAACUCCUUGGAUCAUUCCAAACAGCAAAGCUGAAACAGUACUACCGUAAAGAGAAAAAUACAAAACACAGGAAAGAUGAUUUCUAUUAAAGGAGCCCUUUGCUCUGGGAGGACAGGAAGUACUAGAACAGUUGAGUCAAAAUAUUUCAGAGUUUAGUUCAACAGUAUUUGGACAGAAUGAAUGAAGGGGAAACAGUUUGUAGAGCAAGUUUUCAACUGCAGCUUAGUUUCUCCUAUAUUAUUCAGCCAAACCCUAUUUUAAAAGGCAUUCGAAUUUCAGCAGCUACACUCUGAUACGAAAGAGGAACGAGAACACAUGAGGUGGUAUUAUAUUCUACUGAUGGUUUUCUAUCAUUGAAACCAUUACCUUUGACACCAGACUUUUCUUUUUGUCUUUACUUGUGAUUAAUUUGUCACAGUUGGACUGUUAGCUAACAGCAAGCUAGAAGACUAAAAGAAUAAUCACUGAUUAGGGUAAAAGAAGUACCAUUUAGCAUUCACGUCAGUAAAUGAGCACAGUCAUAUGUUAGAGCUGAACCGAAGUAUAGCAUACCUUCACUGAGGAGCCUGAGGAGGUACUGAAGCCUGUAGUGUGUGCAUAACAUGCUGCAGGUUCCAGGUAACUGGGAAUGCAACAGCCGUCAUGAAAACUCACUUACCUGGACAGCCUCCUCAAGGCCUUGGUAGAUUUUAUCAGUGUGGGCCCAGGGACACAGUGGCUGUCUUUUCUCACUUGGUGUGUGUGUGUGUGCUUCUCAGAGGCCAUUCCUCCGUCAUGUCCUGUGACAUCACCUCUCUGUGCUUACCAUUUGCUGAAGAUGUGGGGAUCCAGUACUUCUUUUUUGUGGGGAUCUAGAAUAGCUUCCUGCUCGAGACUGGCAUUAGAGCAGACAUGAUGAUCUGCCAUGCACUAUUAUACAUCUGCUGUCCAUGGCCGUAGUCGUGUUGGCCUUCACUUGCAUCUCUGCUGGUCUCAUCUCACUGUGGUUCUCUAGUGACUGAACCUUUCACUUCAGGUCAGCAUCAUACACAAGGGGCCCUCUGAGCCAGUUGUGCUGCUUGGUUUUGCCACUUGUGUGCAUCUGCUGCUUGGAGAUACUUUAAGCUAUGUUGGCCAAAACCCCCUUUGCUAGCCAAGUGGGCUUACUUGUCCUCUGCUGCAUGGUAAUAACUAAUCUAUCUAUGGAUGGUAUGAAUUAAUCACUCAAGCUUUAGGAGCGUUCCUCUUGCCAAUGCCUCUAGGGAAACUUCUCCAGCUGCUUCAGGGGACUGUAGUAUAACUUUGAAAUACACAAAAGCUGUUUUGUGUUGAAGCCAGUCACGUGCUUAGGCAGUUCUUGGUGGGUCUUGCUCAUCAGUAUGUACUCUAAGCACUGUGCCAGCUUCAGCUACAUCUGAUCAGUACCUGCGCUUUCUGCUUUCCAGUCAUAGUGCAGACAAGCGUGUCAAUGUGGGUGCUGCAAGACAGUCAUCUGUAGCAACAGAAUGAUACAGCUAAAGCUAUGAACAAACAGCCAUGCAGAAAUGGCACCUGCCUGCAGCUUCUCCCUCCUAUUCAGUGAUUCCUUCUAUUCUUAGUGUUCUAGUAGAGAUGCAUUUAGAGGACUGACUCGUGUUUUCAGUGAAGCCUGUUAAUUGUUAAAAUUGUUCAUUUAAUUUUAGGGAUGUUCUUCAUGUUCACCAUGUGGAUUACAUGUUAUCUCUUUAUUCAGCAUGCAAACUGGAGUCAUGCUAUGAAGGAGAUAGUGUGGAUAGUAGAGAUAAAAUCCCCAUCUCCUGAACAUUAAAUACAGGGUUGUCUCUGCUUCAGAACCUGGGCAUGAAGGAUCAGCUGAAGCUCUUCUGACAUCGUGGUACCAGCAUUACAAAUAAGAAGGGUAAAUUGUUGUAUUUCAGGGUAUGCUCUCUCAGGAUGAAGCUUACAAAUUAGAGAGGAAAUGUGAAAUUGAUUGCUGCUUGUAGUUGUCCAGAAAGCCAGAGAAAUUGCUUUGUGCCCUCAGAGCAGGAGAAAGAAUGCAUGGUCUUUUUUCCAGUGGCUGACUCAGUAAUGGAGAGGAAAACUUGACUUUUUGUUACAGAAAACAUGUGUAAGCUUUCAGCUUUCUGGUACUGACCAUCUUCUGCAGCCUAAGUAAAUCAACCUGUCUUACUGUUUUUCCAGACGUACAGAAUCCUGCAGCUGACAGUGUUUCAUGUUCUUGGCUCAUUAAGGAUCUGUCUCUCUCUUCCUCUUGCUCAGUAUCUGUUAUCUGAAAUAACAUGAAACUCUCGGGUCACGGUAUUUUAAUCAGAGGGCCCCUUACUGUGGCAUAUCCUUCCAUGGGGAUUUUCCAGCCCUGGAACACUGCACCAGCCUGUGUUAGGUAAUGUUGUGGUAGCAAGGUGACAGAAUGUGUUCUCCUCAUGACUGUCAGAGGGGAUCCUGGUGCAGAACAGGAAGGCUUUGAGUUUUCUUUUUUUUUGACUUUUUCUUUUCUUCCAGAACCCAACUCCUAUGUGUUGUUUCAGCAGACAAGUGCCACACUGGAAUGAAAACAUGUCUUAAGAAAAAUACACCUAGCAUUUAAGGUCUCUGUGCAUCAUAAAAUAAUGCUUGGUAUGUUUUGAAGACAAAACAGAUUCCUGGGCAGUUUAGAUAGAAAAGCUGCUGUACAGCUUUUAAAAAGGAGAAACUCAAUGUUUAACCCCUCUAUUAAGAUGUUCCUGUUUUAUCUGUGUGUGUAAAGGCCUGCAUAUCAAGAUACAUUUUUUUCUUACGUUUUCAUCACACAUAGUAUCUGAGAAGGUCUAGUAUUUUCUUCCAUAGUAUGUAAGACUUCCUUGAAGAGAGUAGAUAACUCUUUGCAGUUAAUAUGAAACAUUUUGAGUUAUUUUGACUUAUCCUUUACAUUGAGCAAAACAGUGCCAUAUAAUUUACAUGGUAGUGGGCAGAUAACUGAUUCUUAGCACUGAGUCUUUGAGUGCUGUGAGAACCUAGUGGUAACUUGUCCAAGUGCUUUAAAUAAUUCAGUAACAAAAGUGUUGGGAAGAGGCUUGGUUCUGUCAAAAUUAAGUGUCAAUCAACAUCAGGGACACAGGACCAGGAACCGUCAUCUAUAGACAAGGAGGAGACGCGGGCUCAUUACUACUCUGAGCACACUCUCUGCACUGCCCUGCCCUUUACCUUGCCUGUAAACCAUGGCAGGCACAGACAGCAAAGCUAGCAUCUCUCCUGCCGAGAUAUGCGUUCCAGACCUUUUACUAGUGUCCUACAAUUCUUUGCCAGCAUGGGGGAGAGAAGGGUCCUGAAAACCAUGCUUCAUUUCAGAUACCCCGCUCCUGCAGACAAGAGAAGGUGGUCAGCUGGUUAAAAUCUGUUUCGAGGGGUAAAGACAUUACCUCUGUCUUGAAUUAGAACCCAAAUUCGAAGGCUCAUCCCUAGGAUACAGGUGCUACUUCAGAACAUUUGCUGCUUUUCCCCCAUGGCUUUCACACUUGAUUUGUAUAGUUAAAACUGAUACUUUUAAUUGCAUUGAUUUUUAAAUGAAACUGUUAUUUUGCCAAAAACUUUUUCACGUGCACAUGAAACACACCCUUUAAAAAUAAGCCUUAUUGUAUUUCCUUUCACAGUGCCUACCUGUACAGCUUUUGCUGUGUUACACCAUUCUGAUAGCACUCACUUCUGGAUCUUUCUCUUACCAAUUUUGGACAGGAGGCAGAGCUUGCUCUCUUUCUGCUCCCUCUGAGUUUCCCAGCACAUAUUUCUAAUGGGCAUGUGCUUUACAAGAAGACAUGAUGCCAAUAUAAUGAAAGCACAACUGUGUUUAUAGUACAGUCUCUGCACAGUUUGAGCUCCUCUUGCUCUUUUAGAUUUUAAUGAAGUUUGUGCAUGUCUAAUGGCAGUGGCUAUUUCAGCAUUUUAAAAACUAGAAGAAGCUGUAGCAUAGUUCACUGCAAGACUUAAAUAAGGGAGAAAACUAAAUUAACUGGUAUAGACAAUUGUUCAUUAAUCUUCACAGUUACCCUCUUACAAGUAUUGUGCAGAUUGCAUUUCUUUAAAGAGCAAACAAUAUACUCACUUUGGAAAUAUCAGCUGUUUGGAAUUGUUAAGCAUUUACGCAUGCACAUUAGUCUGCAGCAGUCUGUUGGCAUAUAAAUGUGACAUUAUGAAAUGAAGCCUCAUUUUGUGGGAGCAGAAGGUAAGAGGAGCUGUUGUGACACAUAAAAAGGACUUAAUGUCACUCAACAGAUUUAGCUGCAUAGGUGUUUUGUAAUGUACUGACUGUGUGCAGGUACACCCUGUGUGGCACAGCCAACGAUCCAUACUCCAGCACUGAAACUGGGGAUGCGCUGGAGGGGUGAGCUUGAGUGACCUGGCAUUAGAUACUCUCAGUCUGUGCCUCAUACCUCUUCCUUACAACCUUCACAGUAACUGUGCUUUUCCUCUUCCGCUAGGCUGCCUCCCUGCCCUUUGGACCCCACUGAAACUAGUAACAAAGGCAGGAGUCUGUGGUGGUGAAGGUGUGUGGAGAGCAGGGGAACGGACAUCCUGCUCUAGAACAUGGCCCUGGCUGUUGGGCUUAGACUGCUGGUUAAUUUCUUCUUCAGCUUCUACUUCAGCCAUUUAAUAGCUCUCCAGUAAAGACUCAGCAACUACUGAACUACCUUGGAUUCAUGGUGACAAGCGUUGCCUCAUCUUUAGGUUUUGAUCUUAUAUGUACCAGGGCAUGUAUCACUUCAUACACGUUUUGCACUUAACAGAAAAUCCAGGUUAGACAGGCUUAGAGUGUGGCAAAAUUGCAAUGUUUGUACUUUUUUGUAGAUAUGGGGAUGAUUCUACAGAUACAAAGAUGCACUUUCAGGUAACGAUGAAAACAAGUUUGUAGAAUGCAACUGUUUAGGAGUCUUACUGCAGCAUUCCUUGCUUUAUACUGUGUCCUCCUUGAAAGCCUGCUUGGGAAUGAGAGAUGGUAUCUUCCUCCCAUUGCAGUACGUAUUUAUAGCUGACUGACUGAAAAUUCAUAUAUAUUUUUGAACAGUUACAAUUGGCUGCUAUUCUAAGAUUUAGUUUUAUUAGACUGAUUUUAUAAUGCAUAAAAGCAAUGUUAAAGUUUUAUUUAUAAUGUCAACAGAUACUGAUUUGACACUUGGCUUGUAGGAGUGAUCCAGCUUAAAGCCUUCAUUCCUUUUGCUAGUUAAUGUAAUUAACAGUGUAGCCAUUGUACGUGUGCAGUGAAAUGAGUGCAAAUUACUAAUCUUAUCUUGCAGUUAGACCAGCAGUUUCAAUGUUUACAGGACAGUGACUAUUGAUUGUAAACCCAUACAUGCUUAUUGAAACAGUGCAGUCUUUCAGUGUUUUGGAAGCAUUGUUUGUGCUUUCCAUAACAAUUAAUGAAAAAAUCGCCUUCUGGUUUAGAUUCCUGGUUAUGUCCCUUUGGAAAGAUUUAAAUGGGGAUUAUGACUUUUCUGCCACCCAAAGGACAGAAUUUCUACUGAUGCAAGUGUUGUACUGAACAUGUUUUCUGAAAGAUUGCCUUUAUUUUUUGUGAAGAUAUUUAUGAGCAUUCAGUGUUGUUGAUAAAGUUGGUCUGAAGUCUUGAAAUAAAUGUGUAGUUAUUAAAGAUGUAUCCCAAAGCAAAGUAUUUUUUAAUUGGGCACAGUUACUGGUGUGGUUAUCCUUCUGAGCUCUCCUAGCAACACACCCACUUAACAUUCACUGUGCACAGCUCCUGUGUGUUACUUAGGAGAUGACUUGAUUGAAGAAGAUGUGGGUUCGCUUACAUUGUGCGUGUCCCAUAUCACUCCUCUGGCAGCAACUCCUAGUUACAGACAUGGGCUGUGAAGGCAGAACCUCUUCCCCAUGCACAUCACCGCAGAUGAAAGAGCAGAGAGUCUGCCUGUGUGCCUGGCUGCAGGGCCGUUUGGCACUUGCAGUCCCCUCCCUGUCCACACACCGGGUGUGCCAUGCAUUAGCCCUUUUGUUUUCUGACAGAAGGAAGCUGCAAAUCUACAUGUGCCCAUGUGAGUCAGUUACCAGCUUGCCUCGCUGUGGCAUCCCUUUCUUUGUGCUGCUGACCUUGCCAAACUGGGUAGCAAGAGGUGCUUGAAGAAUUACUAUCUAUUGUGUAAUUUUUAGGUGCUUAUAAAGCCUUCACUGCUAUUUUAAAGCAAAAUUCGGGGGAUCUGUAGCAUAGCAAUAGCUUUAUAACUCCAGCUUUCUGAACAUGCCAAAAGCAAGUUAUCCUUGGAAUAGUUUAAUUAGCAAUGGUGCACAUAGGAGUAAUCAUUACCUUGAAGCUCUAAGUUCUGAUUACUGGAAGACAGCAUCUCUGCUUUGAAUGUAAAGCAUCACAGUUUAUAAUUCACUAUAACAUCCUGCAUACUUUGAAUCACCCAUCACAUCUUAACUCUUCUCAAACUAUGGUUUAAGUAUUGCUUAAAUAACUGUGUUUCUCACCUCUGGUUAUUUAAAUAGCCCAGCUUUAAGCAGUUUUAUGAAUGCUAUUUCAGUAUCAAGAUAUUCUGUCUUAAAGCAUUUCCUGUGAAUGUUCUGAUACAUUGGUAGUAAGUCAUCUUGGCCCAACAAGAUAAGGUAAGCUGACCACAGAACAGUUCAGUUAUUGUCUAGUGCUUAUUCUUUGCGCAUCUGUCUAAUAAUUCUCAGAAAAAAAAAAAAGCCUAAGUAUAAGCAUUAAAGUGAAAACUGUUCCCAUAUUGUGUGCCUCAAACCAGUAAUGCAUUAUCACACGUUUACUUGUGGACUGGUCUCAGAAACAGGCUUUUAAUGAUGUAACUUGUUUCUCAAUGUCUGCCUUGCAAAUGAGACACAUCACUAUGCUGUGGUAACUUGUCUACAAAUAACAUACUGAGUGUACUAAUUGGUUUAAAAAAAGUAAUUUAUAAAAGAUGAACUCUUCUAUUUAAACAUCUGUUUGUCCUUGGGUUAUGUUCUUAGCACAAUUCUGUAUAUAUUUUGCAAUAUGUGUGUUGUGUUUAAUUUGAUUGUACAUUUUGCACUUGAAAUUCUGUAUUCUAAGUAAUAUUUACAAGUUCCAGAGAUCUGUAAGUAGAGUUUGUGUGUGAAAAAUACAACAUCUCUUCUAUCCUG